UGGGGAAUAUUGGUCAAUGGGCGAAAGCCUGAACCAGCAAUGCCGCGUGAGUGAUGAAGGCCUUCGGGUUGUAAAGCUCUGUCGGGAGGGACGAAAAAGUCGGGGUAACGCCCGGUCUUGACGGUACCUCCAAAGGAAGCACCGGCUAACUCUGUGCCAGCAGCCGCGGUAAUACAGAGGGUGCAAGCGUUGUUCGGAAUUACUGGGCGUAAAGCGCGUGUAGGCGGCGGCGUAAGUCGGAUGUGAAAUCCCUCGGCUCAACCGAGGAAGUGCAUCCGAUACUGUGUCGCUUGAGUGCCGGAGGGGGUGGCGGAAUUCCCGGUGUAGAGGUGAAAUUCGUAGAUAUCGGGAGGAACACCUGUGGCGAAGGCGGCCACCUGGACGGUGACUGACGCUGAGACGCGAAAGCGUGGGUAGCAAACA
rnacentral:rRNA from 1 species